rnacentral:lncRNA from 1 species
AGAAAAGCUUGUAUUAAACACAGAGGAUAGGAGCUCCUGCUGAGGCGCAGGGGUAACAAGCCCGACUAGCAUCCAGGAUGACACAGGUUCAAUCUCUGGCCUCACUCAGUGGGUUAAGGAUCCAGUGUUACUGUGAGCUGUGGUGUAGGUCACAGACGUGGCUCGGAUCCCGUGUGGCCGUGGCUGUGGUGCAGGCUGGCAGCUGAAGCUCUGAUUUAACCCCUAGCCUGGGAACCUCCUUCAUAUGCCACAGGUGCAGCCACAAAAAAAAAAAAAAGAAAAAGAAAAGAAAACAGAAAAAGAAGGCACCUAGAAAACCAAAAGCCAACCUGGAAAACAUGCGCAGUUCACACCACGGAGGAAAGGUCACCCUCAGGCAGCCCCACUGCCCCAGGACACACCGCAAGCAACGGGCCAAGGCCAUCUACCCCAAGGCAGUUGUGACAGAAGGCCGCCUCCCUGGCUCAGGACAAAGGGGCACGGGGAGCACGGGGCCCAGAAGCUCGACAGCACAGGUCUGAGGCUGGCACCCGCAGGGAUGCUCUGGCCGCAGCGCAGGGAGGGGAGGUCGGACUCAGCCCGACUCCCUCUCAAGAUGGAAAGGAAUUCGGAGGCCUGGCAGCUCGAAGGGGGGUCAGGGCCCCCUGCCCAGGGCCCCCGCCUGGACACCAACCUGUGGGUGAAACCCUGCAAGGGGAACUUUUGAAAAAGAACAAGUCCCAGCCCCGGGGCCAGCCCGGCACGGCAGGGGGGCCCUUCCUGACCACGCGGGAGGCCGGCUCGGACCCGGCCCGGCGAGCUCAGAACCGGACCCAAGGGGUUGGGGCUUCACUGCCUGCUGGAGGGGGCAAGACCCUCUUCACAGGAAGAUGCUAAAACUUCAGCGCUCAACCAUGAGAACGCCACAGGAUCAGGCGCCCAAUAAACAACUUUCUAGACACACUCAGUAGCAGGAAAAUAGGCACCACAAAGCAGAAGGUGAAUCGGCAGAGACCCGAAAUGACAGGGGAGAGAGAAUGAGCACGAAGGAAAGCAAUUAUGUGAAGUGGGUGCCGUGUGCUCAAGGGCAUUUUCUUCAAGCUUCGUCUGAUUUCUCAAAUUUAUCUUUUACUGAAGUAAAGCUGAUCCACAAUGUUGUAUUAAUUUCUGCUCUACAGCAACGGCCCUCAGUCAUACGUGUCCAUACCCACAUGUACCCGCUCUUCCGUAUGGUCUCACAGGACACUGAACAGAGUUCCCUGCGCUGUACGUACGACCUUGGUUAAGAAUUGUUUAAACGGGAGUUCCCGUCGUGGCGCAGUGGUUAGCGAAUCCGACGAGGAACCAUGAGGGUGCGGGUUCGAUGUUCGAUCCCCGGCCUUGCUCAGUGGAUUAACGAUCCGGCGUUGCCGUGAGCUGUGGUGUAGUUCACAGAUGUGGCUUGGAUCCCACAUUGCUGUGACUCUGGCGUAGGCCGGAGGCUACAGCUCCUAUUCAACCCCUAGCCUGGGAACCUCCAUAUACCGCAGGAGCGGCCCUAGAAGUGGCAAAAAGACAUAAAAAAGGAAUUGUUUAAAUAAGUACAACAGGAGAGAUGGAAGACCUUUUCACCAAGAACAAAACUGAAAUUAUAAAGAUGAAAAAGACCAUGUCUGAUUCGGGAACUACGCAGCCUUGGAGUAAGAGCAGCUUAGAUCCCACAAAAAAAUGGAUCAGGAAACAUGAAGACGUAGAAAUAGAAUUUAUCCAAAAUAAAGUCCAAAGAAAAAGCCUGAGGAGGAAUUCCGGAGCUUCACUGACUGCGUGUCCACAUCAAACAGCCUGAGAGAUAAGAACUGGGGUUGCAGGAGGCAAGAAGAGCAGAGCGAAGAAAAAAACUUUUUUUGUAGAAAUAACAGCUGGAAAAGUCCAAAUUUGACAAAAACUAUGCAUCCACAAGUUGUAAAUCAACAAACCCUAAACAGUAUAUAAACACACACACCCCCUAGAACACAUCACAACCAAAUUACAGAGAACCAGUGAUGAGGAGGAAAAGCUUAGCAGCAGCCAGGGGACAAACAUGCCUUAUGCGCAGUGGGGACAGGAUGGUAUCAGUCGGAGGACAGAACCACUCCGAUAAUUUAAGAAGGAAAAACCUGUGCUGCGGGUGCAGCCCUAGAGACAAAAGUCAAAAAAAGAAAAAUCCAAUAUAAAGUACUAUUAGGAGUUCCCGUUGCAGCUCCGUGGGUUAAGAACCCAACAUGGUGUCUGUUCAUGGGGACCCAGGCUCGAUCGCUGGCCUCGCUCGGUGGGUUAAGCACCCAGCGUUGCCACAAGCUGUGGUGCAGGUUGCAGAUGUGGCUCCAAUUCGACCCCUAGCCCAGGAACUUCCACAUGCAUCAGAUGUGGCCUUAAAAAGAAAGGAAAAACUUAAAUAGCGACAGAGCCGCCCACUAAAGUGGAAAGAACGCCAAGUGUCAGAAAUCUGAGGUCUGUGAGGAGCCAGCGGCUCCAGGACUGAGGCCGAGAGUCCAGGGAGGACGAGGCAGGAGAAGCGAGGCAGCUGCGGGCCUCGGAGAGGUCACAGCAUCCCAUCAGGCUGUGGUCGGGACCCGGACUGAAAGGUGCGGCUGGGCUGGCCUGGCUGGCGGCGCUGCGGGGGUGUUUGGGGGUUGGGGUCCCCCAGGCCAGGGCAGCAAGCAGGAAGCCUCCUGCCAGGGUUCCAGGCAGACCCACCGGGAAGCCGCCCCCAGGGGCCCCAGGAGACCGUGUCACUGAGCACCCCAUGCUGCUGGCCGGCAGACCACGGCCAAGAGGAGAGCAGACUGGACCCGAAGCAGCGGCCGGUCCUCCUGCAGUGCCCCCACCCCCCAGCUCCCCGUCCCAACCACGCUUAAUGUCGCUCUCACCCGCAAAGCAGAGAGGCAGAGGGUCCCACUGCAAGGCCACAGACGCUGAGAAGCCCCCAGCCAGAGGAAGACAGACGCAGGGGACAGGAGGCAGGCCCGGAAACAGCAAAGGAACUUCCACAAAGAAAGAAAAAUCAAAGCCUGUCAACCUGGACUGACAUCCAGUGAAAACAUCGCCCGCAGUGAAGGCCCCAGAAGCAAUCGGACAGAGGACAGGUGGCCUUUCCUACAAAGGCUGCUGCGGCCCGCGGACCCCCAGCCAAAAGCAGAACCUCCCCACGUACGUGAAAACCACCCCAUGACGGACCUCGGGGCUGAAUAUAAAACACGAGACGACAAAACCUUUAGAAAUAGGACGGGAGAAAAGCGGCAGGGGCUUGGGCAGGAAGAGUGUUCCACCACCAGAGGAAAACCUGAUACCAGGGACUUGCCAAUACUAAAGGUGUUUGCUUCUGCAAAAGACCCCACUGUGUGCAAAGGAGGAGAGCACGCACACACUGGGUGGGACCGUCCACAAACCACAUCUGGCAAAGAACCUGCACAAAGACCCAGAGCUCGGCGGGGAGAAGUCAAGCAGCCCAGUCGGAAUCGGCGAAACACGGGCACGAGGCACACCCGGCGCGGUGGCUUGAGAACCCGACUAGGAUCCAUAAGGCUGCGGGUUCCAUCCCUGGCCUCGCUCCGUGGGUUAAGGAUCCAGCAUGGCCCUGAGCUGUGGUGUAGGUCACAGACGCGGCUCGGAUCCUGCGUGGCUAUGGCUCUGAUAUAGGCCGGCAGCUACAACUCUGACUAGACCCCUAGCCUGGGAACCUCCACACGCCGCAGGUGCAGCCCUAAAAAGCAAAGAAAAACCCACAAAAGACAGGAAGGGCCAUGGCAUGGAGAGGGUCAGGAGGGGAGCACAGGUAGAAUCAGGGGAGAAUUAAAACCAGGACGAGGAGCCCAAACGCCUACUGAACAGUGACACCACCACAAGCUGGCGGGGACGCAGAGAAACCCAGUCCCCUGUGCGUCGCCCACAGGAAGGUAAAUCAACGCAGCCCCUCUGGAGAAACGGCACACGUGCUGCACACAACCCGAAGCAUGCGGAGCACGCCCCCAGCACCCACGCUGCGCUUGCGGCUGGACCAGCCCAUCUGGCUCUCUGGUCACAGGAGGCACUUCAGCAAAAGGCAUCAGGGAACUUAGGGACACGGUUUAUCACUCGCGGUCUGAGGGCACAGAAUGCCGAGGCCCGCCCAGCGAGGCCCAGAGAGGAGUGGGAACGCGGGCGCCUGCGGUCCUGCCUUUCCUGGGGUCCAGGGUGGGGGGUACCCAGGGUGCCAAAGGUUUGCAUUUCUUUUUCUGUCACAGCCACAGCACGCAGAAGUCCCCAGGCCAGGGAUCAAACCGCACACAGCGGUGACAAUGCCUGAUCCUUAACUACGAGGCCACCAGGGAAUGGCCAAGGGUUCACUCCUACUGGCUAAUGUGAAGCUGAAGAGUGGGAAUCGGGGCGCGGGAAGGACAGAGGAAGGUCACGCAUGCAGUGACCAGGCCACCCGGGCUUCCGAAAGGGGGACCAGUGUAAGGCCCACACCGGAUCUCUAACCAUAAGGCUUAAAAACAGAACGUAGAACAGCUCACGAGUAACUUUUUACCCAUCACGCACUGAAACACUAUUUUUGCUGUACUUGGUUAAAUGCUCUAUCAUCUCAAAAUCAAUUGUAUCCGCUUUUUUAAACUUUUCAAAGUGAUUCCUGAACACGUUAUAUAUGAGGCUCCGUUCAUUUCCACUGAAAUCUAGUACUGGGGGGAUAAAAAGACACAGUGUCUACCCCCGAAACCACUUCAUAU